UUCGCCUAGCCAAUGAAAUCAAUAACCAACUCAUUCGUUGGCUCUUCGGGAACGCCUCUUAAAGAUCGCACCGCCUUAUAUGACUGUUUUUUCACUGAUCCAUGAUGGGCUGCGUCUACGUCACAUGUUGUUUUUUGCUUUAGCUCACUCGGCCACUCCGAACGAGGAGUUGCUAGUGGAGAACUACAGACAUUACGCGCUGAAAUCUCCAGAAAUCGGUUAAGUUUUUCUUGUUUUUUUUUUUUUAACGAAUGGAUAAGUUUUGGAAACUGAGUAAAUAAACUGUCAACGCAAGUAUGGCAAGUCCGCCUCUUAAAGGGGGACCCUCGCUAUCAAACAGCAACAACAUUCAUUCAAACAACAUACGAAAACAUGGAUAUCUCAAGAAGCAAAAACACGGACAUCGGCGCUAUUUUGUUUUGAAAGACACGAGCGACGGACUCCCAGCGCGCUUGGAAUACCACGAGAAUGAAAAGAAAUGGAAAAACAAGUCUGCUCCAAAAAGAGUGAUAUUCCUCGACUCGUGUUUGAGCAUAAACAAGCGCGCUGACGCGAAACACAGAUAUUUGAUAGCCCUCUAUACCAAGGACGAAUAUUUUGCUGUGGCUGCGGAGAAUGAGCAAGAGCAGGAGAGCUGGUACGGAGACUUGGCUGAUUUAUUAAGCAAAGGAAAAGUGUGUGACAGCACCGUUUCUAAUUCGGCAUCCUCUCUGGUAGGCUUCGACGAGGGAAAUUACGGAAUGAUUACACCGGUGAAUGCUGCUUAUAAAGAGGUAUGGCAAGUGAACCUUAAAGCAAAGGGACUUGGGCAGAGCAGAAAUAUCACUGGAGUUUUUAGGCUGUGUUUAACAAGUCGGACUAUUAGUUUUGUGAAACUUAACUCCGAGGUGGCAUCAGUUACCCUACAGUUGAUGAAUAUUCGUAGGUGUGGGCACUCUGAUAGCUUUUUCUUUAUUGAAGUUGGAAGAUCAGCCUCUACUGGACCUGGAGAACUGUGGAUGCAAGCAGACGAUUCUGUGGUGGCACAAAAUAUACAUGAGACAAUUUUAGAAGCUAUGAAAGCAAUGAAAGAGCUGUCAGAGUUCAGACCCCGCAGCAAAAGUCAGUCAUCAGGAUCAAACCCCAUUUCUGUACCCACUCGUCGGAACCUAAACAAUUUACCUCCAAGUCAAACAGGGCUAGUGAGGAGGUCAAGGACGGACAGUACAGCAGCCACAUCUCCCGUGACCAAAUUUUCUUCUUGUCGAAUACGGACUGCAAGUGAAGGGGAAGGUACCAUGAUCAGGCCAGUCUCUGUAUCAGUAUCUGAGAAUGGAAGCCCAAUGACUGUUGGCCGGCACCACAUGAGUAGAUCUAAUACUGUUUCAGUAGGCUGUCGGACAUCAGAACCAUCACUACUUAAUCACAGCAGGUCCAUGUCUAUGACCAUGUACCACUCUCCCCCAUCUGUUGUAAGUCCACUAAGUUUGUCUUCAAUCAGUAUGAAUGGUUCUAUCUCAAACAAAGCACACAGACCUUCCAGCUGUAGUGGUUCUGUUUCUGGGUCACCAAAUGAUUUUGGCUUUUUAACGUGUGAGGAUUACAGUUCCAGCCCAGGGGAUGUGAGGUACAACCUAGCAAACAGGAGUGACACUCCUUCUUCUCUGUCCAGCACACCACCCUUACGAGAAACCAGUGAACUCCAUAGUUAUAUGGUGAUGGACAGGCCAUCCAACUUUUCACAGAACAAGACUAGCAGAGACAUGUUGGAUGUGGAGACAUACAGGAAGAGGACAUAUUCUCUAACAACCCCACGGCAACAGAUGGCACACUCCCAGUUAUCUUCAGCGUCACUUGAUGAAUACAUGUUGAUGAGGGCUGCGAACAGCCACUCUGGACGGAGCACAAAUUCUGCUUCUCCUAAACUUUCAUAUCCAGAAGAUUAUGGGGACAUUGAGAUAGGCUCUAACUGUAAUGUGGGUGAUGAUGGCUACAUGCCAAUGACACCAGGCAUGGCACCUCAGAGUGCAAAAAAUGACCACUACAUGCCAAUGAGUCCCAUGAGUGUUUCAGCACCCAAGCAGAUCAUUAACCCGAGAUCUCAUCCACAGUCUCCAGGCAGUGGCUGCACAGCUAACUCCCCCAGCAGUGGAUCUCUAGAGGACAGCGGGUACAUGAAAAUGUGGUCCGGAUCCAAGUUUUCACUGGAGAGCUCAGAUGGAAAAGCAGCGAAUGGAGAAUAUGUGAAUAUGUCACCUGUUGACACAUCCAUCUCACCCACACCACCAGAAUAUUUUAUGGGUCCUUGUGAGCCAACACAACGGCCCUCCCCAACUCAAAGUAUUCGCUUCAAUAAGCAACAGGUGCCUAAAAGAGUAGAUGAUAACCAGUAUGUUUUCAUGAGUCCUCAGAACCAAAAUCAAACCGAAGAGGCCAACAGCGUUUCUUCUCUGCCCCCUCUCUAUCGCCCUGAUGUAAUGGCACAGAGAUCAAAGGUCAACAGGCCCAAUAGGUUAUCUCUAGACGCUCUAAGGAUGCUUCCAAGGAUGACUGAACAUCCGCUACCAUGUGAGCCUAAAAGCCCUGGAGAGUACAUAAACAUAGACUUUGCUGCUGCUACUCAGUACUCCUCUCAAUCUAUGGUCACUGUGGAAAAUCAGGCCUCACUGUCCAGCCUCAGACAGGGAUCUCCGCUCUCAGACUACAUGAACCUCAACCAGAGUUCACACUCUUCUAAACUGUGUGAAAUGAGUAGUCCCCUCGAUGGACUGCCAGAGCUGGCUGAAUGCCCGCCUGAUGAUGGGACUUGUUUUCUCAACGAACAGAGAAACUUACCAUGCCCCUCUGUAUCAGGAAAAGGUAAUUACACUGAGAUGAGCUUCAACAGUGGUUCCCUUGAAAAUCAAAAGAGUGCUUCAGUCAGCCCCACUAGCAGGGUUCAAAGGCUUAACUUGGGCAACCAGGGGGUUUCAAAAGGAAUUGGCGCUUUCUUGUUAGCUGCCUCCUCUGUAGAUCCAAACGGAGGAGCAAAGGUGAUUCGAGCAGACCCCCAGGGCCGGAGACGGCAUAGCUCUGAGACCUUUUCAUCCACCACCACAGUUGCACCGGUCUUUCCCUCUUUUGCACACAAUGUUAAGCGACACAGCUCUGCCUCCGUAGAAAACAUCUCAGUACGAAGCAGUGAAGGUUCUGAUGAGGAGUAUGAGUCUCCUAUGUGCCAAGAAAUGUCAGCUGGUUAUCAAAAUGGGCUCAAUUACAUCGCCUUAAAUCUCAUGGAGAAACAAGAGACUGGCAAUUGUGAAAAUCUUGUGGGCUUUAAGACUGGCGGUUGUUGUAAAGCAGGAAUAAAUGGAUUACACACAACUCCCUAUGUGUGUCUUGGAUUCAAAGAAACUGCAACCACUGUACAAGAGCAGUACUCCUUAAGACGAUUGUGUCCAUUUGCAUGUGUGGCAGAUGGCUGAAUAGAUGUGGGGCUGUGUGUGUGUGUGCUCGCGUGCACCUGCCGCUCUGCUCACCGCAGAUUGAGCAGGAAGCAGAGGUUACUCCUAAUGCUAAGGGAAAAUGGAAGCUCAACCAUUAACUGGACUGAACUGGUUUGGUCUGGACUAUGCUGCUGUAAAUGAACCGUGACCUUUGCACCUCAUCUUAAAGCUGAACGUCAGAUGGAUGUGUUGUGAAAACUCCUACAAGGACAAUGUGUUACUCCUGUUUUUCCAAUCUGCACCAAUUUUUAAGCUGCUGCUCUUUUGUCAUGAAAUGUCAUGAAAUGAACUUUUAUUGAUGUUGUGAAAACCUUUAGUUUAAUUUUGAAAAUGUAUUGCGUUAUGAUUUAUUUUGCAAUCUGUAAACUUAUUUACCUGACCUAAAUAUCUGAAAGGUACCAUUUGCCCUGUUGUACGAAUUGCCACGUGUGUCAUUUUAGUUAUUUAAAAAGAUUAGAUUGAAAAGAAAUCUAUAAGUCCUCCCUGAGGAAAUGAUUUGUACUAAUGCAUGCAUUUCAGAAGAGAUAAACAAUCAUUUUAAUUUGAAUGUUCUCAUAUGACCAAUGCCUUACUCUCUUUGUUGACAAAUUUAUGACUUCUUAUCUGGACCUAAACAAUGAGAACAUUUAUUAUACAACUCUAUUUUUCUAAAUAUUUAGUUUAUUAACUAAUCACUUAAUAAGUUGCUACUUGAGAGCCCCUUUUUGAUAUGGAGAAUGUUUUGCCACCUUCUUACAGCAGGUGUGGUUACUGCACAUGAUAUUUAAUAUUUACACAAAUGAUCUAUUUAUGACCAUGGUCAAUCUUUUGCUCCUAUUUUUUCACAGAUUAAUUGUCACCUAAAUCAUAGCUUUUUUUUGUUCGACGGCCUCAUUUCACAUGAAUAUAUUUGAAUUGUAAUAUAAUGUAUGGUAACAGUGACUGCUUCCCAUUCCGACAGCAUGUUGCCAGUUAACUUGCCAAGAAUAAAAAAAUAAAACAUUCACUUGACUGUACAGAUACACAGAGCUUUUAACAACAGAACAUGCUAUAGAAAGCUGUUUUUGAAAGAGAAAGACAAUCUUGUUCUAAAAUAUUUAAAUAAAAUUUCGUUCAAAUAACACAAAUGACAUUGAAUAAUCGCUUUAAAAUCAACAAUAUCUUUCUAUAAUGUUUCCAAUAGAAAAUAAACACAUUUAGUAAUCAGACUACUUCAGAAUUGCUGUUAAUAUCCGUACAAUGAUUACAGUUGAAUAGUUGAUGACGAUCUUAAAUCGUUCUAUUUGACUUUGGCAUUGAUUGUAACAUGACACAUCUGAAUGUAGAGCACACAACCCUCUUAUACAGUGUGAGUGACCCAAAUAGUGAGGCAGAUAAAAAAAAAUAUCACAACAGGAGUGAUUUGUAGAUAUUGUCUGCUUUUCCCUGAAUGUUGUGUACUAAAUACAAAGCUGUGAUCUGCUUAACAUGUUUUCUGCAUUCAACACAAUAGUUUCAUAAAAAUACAAAGCAAACUACAUCUAUAUAUUAUUAUAUAUAAAUUUUGUUUAGAGUGACAUAAAUAAUGGUACCCUCCUGAUUCUACUUGAUUCUUGGAAAUGUCUUGCUUCUUAGAUGGCAUCCAUUAAUUCUUUGUAUAUGCAAUAAUUCAAAAUCUAAUUAGUUUACAAAGUGGAACCAAAUGUAUAAAUGUUAUGUUAAUAUAUUUGUUUAAAAAAAGAGAGAUAAUGAUUUUUAUGUUGUUUGUAUGUUUCUUUCUGCCAACUUUUAAAGCUUAUUUUACUGCUUUGUUUAACUAAAGACAUAUAUAUAUAUACAUAUAUAUUUAACAGUGUUCUUGAAGAUCCCGUCUAAGUGUAAAAAAUCUAAUAUAUCUAUUGUUUGUACGUAUCAAAGGGUUAAUAUAUUUUCAAUAUUUGCGAGGUUUAAAUAAACAAGCUGUGUCUUCCAUUGUACAAAAGCCACAAGCUCUUCAUUGUUUUGCUGUUGAGAGAUCAUGUAUAAUAUCCUAGAUGAAUUUUGCUUUCGUUUGUUUUAAAAGAUGCAAUAAUACAAAUAAAUAUUAUUUAUGGAAAAUAAA